UUAUAUUAUUUUUUUUUCUCAAAUAAUAUUUGAAUAAAUCGGCCAGAAGUGGGAUUUAUUAUUGCGUCAUAUUUUUAAUAUAUUAUUCCUAUAUAAAGGCCGUUUAAAGUUAGGACAACCAGAAUUGUUGUCGAGUUAGUCGUGAAUUUUACUUGUUAAAUAAACUGAAGAUGAAAAUUUUUCUGAGUCUUUUUUUUGCUUUUUUCUGAUUGAAGUAAACGCUGAUUGCUGGUUUGGUCCACCUGGAUAUGAAGCCGAGGUUAGAAAAAUUUACAAGGAUGGAGAGAAAUACAAGAUGGAAAGUGCUUCAGCUGGAAAUGCCGCAACAAUUCAUGGGGUGGUAGCGGGUAUGCUGAAUAUUAUUGUAUAGACCAAAUUGGGAACACAGGCUACAAUUAUUCGAAACCGUUUCCUAAAUUCUGUCCUAAACCGAUAUGUAAAUCACAUCUAGAAAAAAAAUUGAAAAAGCGAUCAUUAAAAAUUUUCAGACUUUAAACACGAAUGCAAUUUUAAUAAAUAAAAUCCAACUGUUUGUAAAACAAAAUUACGUUUUGUAGUUAUGAUAUAAAAUAAGAAAUAAAAAUAAAAUGUUUUAAUAACAAUAAAUUGUACCCAUCAACUUGAAGUUUUGUGUUGAUGAUAUAAAUUUUAUAAAUUCUACAAUUUUCAUUAAAUUUAUUCUAUCGUUUCUAUCCCGCCAUUACGUCAUACGCAGAAUACAUUAACUCCCUCGUGUAAAUGUUAGGUAAGUAAGAGUUUGAACAACCAGAAUAGCAGUUGUCAGUAGUUUUACUAGCCAAGCUAAUAAAAAUGAAAAUUUUUGUUAGUAUUUUUGUUUUUCUGAUUGUAGCUUGUUUUUGGAAUAAAGCCAAACCUGACUACAUGUGGGUCCCUUUGAAGGAGAAGAUAAGUUGGCGAUACAGUGAUUCAUAAAUGCGUGGAAUCUAUAUUCAAGUGAUUCGGAUGGAUUACUUCGGAGUGAUUCUAACUCUUAAAGUUUAAAUCUUUCAAAUGAUAUUUAAUAAUUCAAUAAUGUAUCUAUAUUUAUUUUAAAAAAUUUUUUAUAAACAUUGUUUAUUUC